AAGACUGCAGUUAGGGGGUAGCCGUACCCACAUGGAGACAUAGUUCUUGCGUGUGACGAUGGAAGGACCAGAGGGCGAGACCUGUCACGAGACGUCAGAGGGCUUACCUUCCGUCUCUCUCACUGAUUGACAAGCGAAUGGUGGAAGGGUGGGGACUCGGAUGACUAUGAAGGUAUGAAAGACUGUUUGCUGUGUUUUCUCUCAAUAUCUGAUUUACAUGUGCAUGCGUGCGUGCGCGAGCGCGUGUGUGUCUGUGUGUGAGUUCGAAGUGAGCAUUGGCUCCAGGAUUAUAGUAGACAAAGUUUGUAGCACUAACAGUGGCUUACAGACGUCCAAGAAUGGCUAGUCGUCCUGUGGAGGACCUGCUGACCAUCGUUAAAAAAAGGCUUUAAUUUGUUUACAAAAAAUACUCUGAAUACCAAGGUUGCCGCACUGAUCACCUGUAGGCAAUCCCACACUUCCCUGUUGCUGACCUUUUCAACACAAAAUUUAUGUCCGGAAAAUCCCAUAGCACGUCAGAAAAUUUCAAGAGUCAACGCCCAUAAAUUAAAAAGGCAGAUUGAGUAUUUAGUUUUACUACACGUUAGACACAGUUCUCUUAUCAUUGACCUCUGACCAUGAUUAACCCCUGAGUCAUAUAAAGGGUGCAGCAAAACAGUUAUCUCAACAUUGGCUUCAGUUACAAAACAGUUGGUCUGCUUGAGAAUAUGUUGUUUCUCUUUCUGAAAUGUGGGAUAUGAAAUAAAGAAAUAGCACAUAAAUAGAAAAAUGGAGACAGAGAUAUUGCAUUACGCACAACAGCUGUGUACACGAGUGAAGGCAUUUUGUGUGUCUAAUGCAUGCAAACAUGUAACACGAAAAGUUAUCCUCAGCUAGUGAUUUGAUGAUAUGGUGUUCGUCCAGAUGUAUUUUUGAAACAAUAUAAAUAUUACAGACACAGAGAAGGUUUUUACAACACACCAAUAAACCUAGAUAUAUCCCAUAAGUCAUCUGAAGCAAUAAAUUAGAUUGUCUGUUGGGACUAUAUGAUUAUGAUCCUGCAAAAGUUGUUGGGUUAGUUUUAUUUUACAAUUGAAAGUAACAUGGUGUUCUUGGUAGUCUUUUCUUCUCUAGAUAUUGAAAGAAUGACAAUCACGAGUUAAUAUCAGAAUUGAUAGGAAGGACACUGUACAUAAAGCAGUAUGUAGUUCAGAUUUGUUACUAUUGCCCCCAUCUCUGUAGAAGAAAGAAAAUUUAAUUAGAGGGGUCUGAAUAAUUUUGUAGGUAAUAUGACAUUUUUCUCCCCGCAGUUGCUGCCAGCUCGUCCUGUUUGAUCCUAUGUUGAAACAUACUUCAUGUAGACACUUCUCUUUUGCUGCUUUGUAUUUUAUACUAUUGAUCUUCCUCUCCACAUUUGUUUGCUGAUGUUUACUCAGGUGUCUGAAGGUGUGGUGUGUGCAUUUUGUGUCUGUAUGCAAAGGCAUUUUUGCAUUUAUUUGUUCAAAGCGGAUCAAUUGCAAAGUGGGAACAUGUGUUACAUAAAUCAUUUUUGUUAUUAACAUAAGACUCACACCAUUGAAAAGACCGCUACUAUACAAACUUCAUGCACACAAAAUACAAUAAAGUUCACACAUUCUUUAAUGUCUCAAAAGUGUCCACAAAGCACACAAUGGGUUACUGCACAACAGCUGUAGGUGGGUAUAGAUUUUAAACAUAUUUAUUUUGAAGAUACCAAACCUUGGUAGUAUGAGUAUAGAAUUACUCAUAAAACUAAGGAACAUCGCUUUACUACCCCAAUAAAAUGUAAUUACCCACAUAAAAGACUUUACCCCCACUACAGACGACACCGAAACAUUUUACAGGUUUAUUAACACGAAGAAAUAUUAAUAUGAUAACUUUUAGAAUUGAUAUUAAGUAGAAGAGGAAUAGAUGAUGGCACACAAUUGGUAGGAGUUACUAGAAAUGUGUAGGAUUCGAUCUUUCAACUCACUGCAUGUCUUUUUUAGUUACAAUGGUAUAAAGUUAAGUACUCGCGAUUUUCUUUGACUUCUUCAUCUUCAAACACGAGCAGACACAACCGAUUGUUUUUAGAUGACUCUGAAGCAUGGAUUCUAAAAUACUGAAUUUGUGUAACAAUGUCACAGCUUUGCUAAGUUAAGAAGUUCAUAACAAAAGUGUAGUUGGGAGUUACAGAUUAAAUAUUCAAACUAGGAUUAGAUACCAGUUUCCUUCUCAAAUAUAGACUGGGGAGAACCCAUAUACACUGUACAGGAAGUUUUAGUAACUUAUAUCAAUAAGUGUUAACCAGUAAGCUAGUAAUCGGAUUCGACUGGGUGACGAACUUUAUGUCCGACUUGGGAAGUUCCAUGCAAGUGUAUCCCAAACUAGUGACAGUUGAUUCUCGUCAUCGCUAGACAUUGCUUGUCACAACAGUCCCAGCUGCAGCAACCUCAAGGGCCGAUGGUCGUGGCAGGAGUGCGGCAGAUAAGUGACAGUGGAGUGGCCAUGUCCUUCAUCCGGGUCACUCACCACGGGGACACUGAUGCAGAAUUCUCAUCUUCAUUUAUCAUCCGUUACUAGAACAGUUCUCGUUUCUAACAUUUUAAAUAUUAAAUGUAAUAACUGUCGUUCGGUUCUUUUUUUUAUUGAGAAAAGAAGAGGAGAACAGCACGGCGUGGUCACGCAUGCAUCGCAAGGAGUUACCUAAGAAUUCCUUACUAAACCUUACAGGUAACCUCUUUCACGUAUUGGAGAGAUCCCUACUUGCCCUCUGCCCUGGGCAAACCGAGCUUUUAAAAUGCUCACUGCACGCACUGACAGGAGAAAAUUGAACUAAUGUAUUUUAAUUGAAAGAAAGCCCCACCCCCAAUAAAAAAAAACCAACCCCAUGAUGCAUGUUAAAUGUCAUCUACUGACUGACGUGCACAAAAUUAAUUAAAACCCACUGCCAUCAAGUAUGUGAGUUUUUCCUAAGUUUAUUAUAGCUCUUAACUUUUUUAUGUUUAUUCCUGUCGGUUACCGCCAGAGCUGUGUGUGACAUAUUUGUUCAUAGCUUUGUUACCAGGAAAAGAAACAGUAAAAAAUAACAUAUGUGACAACUUUAGACUUUCUCUGCGGCAAUUCCUCCGUCACCGUCUCUCCGUCCACCUAGAAGGAGGAGUUGGUGGGGGUUGAUGACUACACUGGGAAUCUCAUGCUGCUCAUUUCCGACCCCGGAAUGUGAGUGGUAAGACACGUCAUCAGGUCACCGACAGGGUUCAUCGUGUUCUCAGCAUAGAGAAGUAUUGUUGAGCCAACGGCAAUGGUCGUCCGGGUAUACAGCACCAUUUCUACCACCCCGCCACGACAUACAACAACGAAGACUGGCAACACUGUUCGGUGUGAGACGAAUAAACUACUCAAGAGGACAGGAGACGGUUUUCAAUACCCUCUUCAACAAGCUGUUGCCAACCUAAAAUAUUUGUUACAUAGAGGCAGUGAUAUAAAAGAAAUUUAUGCUCUAUUGAAAUACAAAAAUGAAAUUCAUCUUUAUUAAGAGAAAGAAAGACAGGAAAGAAGGAAGGAAAACAAAGCCUUUUUUAAAAUCUCGUUGAAACGCACGCUCAACGUAUCUAAAUAACCCUCGUGCGAUGCUUUACAGAUUCUAAAUUUGAUUUCUUUGAACUGCUGUUAGUGUUAAAAACAUAUUAAACUGACUUUAGGCUGGUCAAGCCGUGAAGUGACUGUUAUCUAACACCAACAUGCACGUUGCAUCGCAUCCUUGCACAUCGCAGUCGGGUGAGUAACGCGGAUGUUUUAUUCUACAAAGAGGAUUGGUUUUCUCACACUUCACUUUCAGAUAACAGCCAGGUCCAAAAAGUUAAAAAAAAAUGUAAUGCACACUGGAUUUCAACAAAAAAUAUUCUUCCUUCUUUCGUUGUAGUUUUAAGAGCAUUUUAGCUGUCACUGCCAAGAGUAUUGAAAAUUGUUUUUAACGGCAGGUUUGUUACAGUUGCUGACCCUUUGCACUAUGAAGAGAUAACGUGACGCAGUUGCAGCAGUGCAGUGACCUUUGACAUCAGUGCCUCCUGCGGACUAGGAGAUUGUGCGCAGCAAGAUAGCAUACUGUUUGUUGUGCGACCGGGCGUUUAUUGGAAAGAUUUUUCCUGUCCUGCAACAUAAUUUGACAUGUGUGUGUGUGUUUAUAAAGGAUAUAGGGAAUUGUUUGUACUUUGUGUUAAGAACUCGCGAAUGACUCUGUGUGUGUGUGUGUGCGCACGACAUCACCAGUAACCCUAACAGUAGAAAAAAGGUGAUACGAGCAGGUGUGAGAACUGUUUACGUUAACAUUUCUAUUCCUCGCAAUGGCUGGCAAGUCUUCAUGUUGGAUUCCGUAUUGUAACAUACUUCAUGUGCAUUCUUCUCUUUUUAUACCUUGUUUGAGGACUGUUGAUCUUUCUCUUUAUAUUUGUUUUUGUUUAGUGCUGUCAAUU
rnacentral:lncRNA from 1 species